GAGCUGUGGAUAGGGGUGAAAGGCUAAACAAACUUGGAAAUAGCUGGUUCUCUCCGAAAACUAUUUAGGUAGUGCCUCAAGUAUUACCAUCGGGGGUAGAGCACUGUUUUGGCUAGGGGGUCAUGGCGACUUACCAAACCAAGGCAAACUCCGAAUACCGAUGAGUACAGCUUGGGAGACAGAGCACCGGGUGCUAACGUCCGGACUCAAGAGGGAAACAACCCAGACCGCCAGCUAAGGUCCCUAAAAUUGGCUAAGUGGGAAACGAAGUGGGAAGGCUAAAACAGUCAGGAUGUUGGCUUAGAAGCAGCCAUCAUUUAAAGAAAGCGUAAUAGCUCACUGAUCGAGUCGUCCUGCGCGGAAGAUGUAACGGGGCUAAGCCAGUUACCGAAGCUGCGGAUUUGCAAUUUAUUGCAAGUGGUAGGAGAGCGUUCUGUAAGCCUGUGAAGGUGCGUUGUAAAGCGUGCUGGAGGUAUCAGAAGUGCGAAUGCUGACAUGAGUAGCGUUAAAGGGGGUGAAAAGCCCCCUCGCCGUAAGCGCAAGGUUUUCUACGCAACGUUCAUCGGCGUAGAGUGAGUCGGCCCCUAAGGCGAGGCAGAGAUGCGUAGCUGAUGGGAAACAGGUCAAUAUUCCUGUACCGAUUGUUAGUGCGAUGUGGGGACGGAUCUUAAUAGGUCAUCCGGGUGUUGGAUAUCCCGGUUUAGAUGGAUGUAGGCGUGCAUUAGGCAAAUCCGGUGCACAUAUACCGAGGCCAUCGAUCGAGCCAGCUUGCUGGUGAAGUGACUGAACGAGGUUCCAGGAAAAGCCACUAAGCUUCAGCUAACAACGACCGUACCGCAAACCGACACUGGUGCGCGAGAUGAGUAUUCUAAGGCGCUUGAGAGAACUCAGGAGAAGGAACUCGGCAAAUUGACACCGUAACUUCGGAAGAAGGUGUGCCCUAUUAGUGUGAAGUGAACAACGGAGCAUGAAUGGGUUGCAAAAAAUCGGUGGCUGCGACUGUUUAUUAAAAACACAGCACU
rnacentral:rRNA from 1 species